AUCAAAUCAAACAUAGAUGGAACCCCUAACUUGUCAAGAUAUACGGAUGUUUUGGAUACACAAGGACUGCUCAAUUUUUUCAGCGGCCUUUCACCACGUCUAACAAUGGUGAGGUACCUCUCUCAAGCAAUUGGGCUACAUGCUUACCAAGAAAACUUGCUACCUUUGAGGCUGUAAGAUACUUAACACUGGUUUUCCACCAAAGUGCAACAUUUCACCUCUUGAAGAUAAUUUCUAUUGUUGGAGCCUUUCCCACCUGCGAAGUCUUCGUUUGGUGGUGAGUUAUGCGAUAGUCUUUUUUAUCCUUUUCUGUUUUUCCAAGGCUAAACCAGUUUUAGCUUUUAAUUGUAAUACUGCUUUUAGCCUUUCACCUUGGUGACCACUCUGACAUGCGUGAUGAUGAUGAUGAUGAAUCAUGGUCGUAUAUAAAGGGAGGAAGGAGAAAGGCCAGAAAUUUGUGAAAUACUGCAGGAAUGUAUGCAGAAGAUUGCAGUGGUGAUUGUUCAUA